rnacentral:lncRNA from 1 species
GAAAAGAUGCCACAACAUUGUUCCUGUCUUUAGUAUAGCUGCAUUACUUUUCGAAAUACUUGUUUGUUAAAAGUAAUAUACAACAUGACUUCUUUUCCUCUUGAAGAUGCUGGCCUAUGACUCUGGUUUGAGGAAGAAACCUUCAGUCUCAUGCACAGCUAAUAAGUGAUGUUGAAUCAGAGAUACUUGUUUUGAAGGAAGCCCACUGAUGAUGAUUCUAGAAAUGUAUAAUUUGUGCAGUAAUUUGAAUAUCCGAGUUACGACUUUGCUGUAGGACUCCGAAAUUAUUUUUUAAAUACUACCACAACAUUGUAGUUGUGUACAUAUGUACUGUUUCUGCUCUCUGUGAAGAUGCCUAUAUCCUAUUCACCCUUUAAAAAAAAGAGGCAUGCAGACACACACAAACAGAGAUAUUUUCAAGUCUUUAAAACUGCUCAGUGUUGGCUCAGGGAUAACGCUAAAUAGGUAAGUGAAGAUUGAUGAGUAGUUUUAUGACAGACAUGCGACUUGAAAAAUAAAUGUUAAGUUCAUCAUAGUUUUCCGUACUAAGCACUGCACUUUGCUGCCUUUGAUCCCAGCGUUAUGACUACUACAAAGAAAUAAAACCUUAUCUUACCUUUUCCAGCAUCUACUGCAGAAGACCUCAAUAAUGCAUAAGAACAUCUGGAAGUACGGUAAUUUCAGCUAUCAGAGAUAAGAAUUGACACAGAACAGGGAGAUGCAUUGGGGAUUGCCAAUUACAAUGAUUCUCCUAACAAUGGGAUAAUCUUGUGGGAAAACAAGAAGACAGUGGUGGAACAUGUCCAAAUGCAUGACCUUCUAUAUAGUGAUGUAGCUCCGAAAAACUGAUGGUUGAUCAAGCUGGCUAGAGGUUUUGGGAUCUGAAGUUUAAAACCUUUUCAGGAUGAAAGUUUGACAACCACUGUUAUAUACCGGUAGCAUAGCUGAAAGGCUUUAUAACAAGAUUUGGACAUUUGAACUAUUUUCCCAUCUUAUAAGUCAGAAGGGGCUAAAAUGGGAUAACAAGAAUAAUUUCUGCAAAUGUUGCUUGUCACAAGCAACAUUUGCGCAAGAAAUAGAAUUAUGUACAAGUAAUUACAUCCUUGCAGCCUUCCCUGAUGCUCUCUCGGAUAUUUUGGACCAUAAGUUCUAUCCUCCUCUGAACAUUAGCCAUGAUAAUUUGGCUUGACCAGAAUUGAAGUUCAAAGAUACUAGACUGGGAAAUGCCUUGUUUUAGUGUUUGAUGAUACUUUCUAAGCAACUGGACAAUACCUCUAAAAUGGUUAU